GGACGAAUUAAAGACCUGUUGCUAUUCGGUAAACUACGUGGGGAAAAGGACGAAUUAAAGACCUGUUGCUAUUCGGUAAACUACGUGGGGAAAAGGACGAAUUAAAGACCUGUUGUUAUUCGGUAAACUACGUGGGGAAAAGGACGAAUUAAAGACCUGUUGCUAUUCGGUAAACUACGUGGGGAAAAGGACGAAUUAAAGACCUGUUGCUAUUCGCUAAACUACGUGGGGAAAAGGACGAAUUAAAGACCUAUUAAAUCAGUAAAAUAUGUUGGGAAAUUGCAAUUUAAAGACAUGUUGUUGUUAAUCGGUAAAAUACUUAGCAGCAACGGGUUUCGUCUCUCUCUUUCUAGAGUGAUAUAUCAAGGCGUAGUUUAAUGUGUGCUGGGGUGUGGGCAAACAAACAUUCAUUAGGCUGUCAGGAUUGUUUGGACAGUGAUUCAUGAGUAUACACCAAUACAACUGUCUCGCUCCAACUGUCUUGUGCAGGUUUACAUUUGUCUGGCCAGUUAUGUGAGUGGCAGUCCUCUUAUAGAUGGAGUAACAAUGAGGUAUAGUUAUGGGAAGUAUCAAAGAUGUAGAAAGGAUAUAUCAUCCUGGAAGCUUAGUGCCGAGUUUCUCUGAGGUCCCUGCAUCGUAGGACCGAACCAUCGUAGUGGACUCCUUUCGUCAUUGGGUUUCUCCCCGUCCCAACCAUUGCCCCUCGACUGGUAUAUCAAAGGGCGUGGUAUAGGCUGUCCUGCGGUGAAGCGCAUAUAAAAGAUCCCUUGCUGCUAAUGAGAAAAUGUAGCGGGUUUCCCCUUAAGACUAAUCAAAAUGACCAAAUACUUGAUAUUAGCCGAUGAUUAAUAAAUCAAUGUGCUCUGGUGGUUUUGUUAAACAAAACAAACUUUAAUCCUAAUAGCGAAACACCUGAUCAUAUGAGUAGUCAUAUUGUCAAAACAUCUGUUUGGUUUAGUAUUGUGUAAAGAUACGAUGUUCAGAUUUUCCUACUCUGUCUUAAAUACACACUACAUUGUACAUGUUUUUACCUGUAUCUGUUUUUAACCUACAGGUAAAUCCGAUUUCACCGUAGAAGACCUGAAGAGAGCGGUUCAGUUAAUGGAGGAGAAAUAACUCAAUGUUUUCAGGUGACUGUACACAUCUGUGUUCUGAUGAUGAAGUGCAGACAACAAUCUGACAAGUAGAGAUCAAAGUUCAUUCUAUUAAACGCAGUCGCAGAAA